rnacentral:miRNA from 1 species
AAAGAUGGGGAGGGAUAAAGACCAGUCACUGUGGAUACUCAUCUUUAUCUCUUCCCAG